rnacentral:lncRNA from 1 species
UGCUGCUUAUCCACCACACCACACUACGAGGCCUCCAAGCCUGGGCAGGACAAAGCCCUGGGCAACUCUUGACGGAGUUUUCAAGUAGUCCUGGCUUGCAUAUUAGUUGUCCCAGCUGGGAAUAUGGGAGAGAGACUGAGAGCACGUAAUAGCUGGUUCCCUCUGAAGUUUCCUUCAGGCUAGCUGGUGCUACUGCUAAGUGAAGGGAGGAGGAGGAGGAGGAGCUCCAGGCGGUUCCCGGAUGCCCCAGUUCAGUCCGCUGCCAACCUAUGGUUCCAAGGACUAUGGGUGAGGGGUGUGGUGGGCAUUGCGGGGGAGGGGUGCGGGGGAAUAUACCCCCCGCAUGUGUUCCUCCGCUUCUUCCCAGACCAGUCCCCGAUAACCAGGCAGCGAUGUAAAUUCCUCUCCCCUUACUGCCCUUGCAGCCUCCCGCUCCCCCUUGGCGCCCCAUUCUCCUCUGGGGCCCACUCGCUGCUAAGCAGUUUUAUGGUGUAAAGCAAAUUGUUUGGCGUCUUGGGCCCAAAAGGAUUUCAACUGAUUCCCAAACUUUGAACGACGUCAUCUUACAGGCUCGGAAGGCGAGUGUCCAGUGGGCCGCCUUUGAGCAGACCCAACGAAGCUGAGCGGUCUCCGCGCUCAUCGGACCCCUGGGGGGCGGGGGGCGGUCUGUGCAUGCAGAUGGGAGGACCUUGGCCAUGGAAGCAUGAAUGGGCUAAAUGCUGUGUAGCAACUCACCUGCAGCACUACUAGCCCUGAAAAUGGAGGGCGCUGGAGCUUCCCGACCAUACCUGGCAGCUGCAGGCUCUGCGCAAGCUUCCCGGGAGCGGAGCGGAGCGGGGCGGAGGAAGCCACCCUCCCGGCAGCGGCAUUGCCUUCGGGCUGGGCGUGCAUGAGAGGGAGGGCCGCCUCCAGUGCACCGGAUAGCCGAGCCCUCUGUCUGUCCACGCAGAUCAUGCAGUCUGAUAGUCUGAUUGCCUGUGAUCACCUAUGGACCAACCUGUCAAGGCCAGAUCCAAGAAUGACUCACCAAAGUUACCAGAUCCCUGGAGAUGCUGAGCUGCCCCAUGCAUGGAUUGUCCCCCUUACCACUGGCUCAUAGAAUCCUUGGCUGCCUUCAUGACUCAGCUCAAGUGCCAGGAGUCUCUUACUCCCUCAUAUCCACUGGUGUUUUCCCCUUGAAGACUACCUUUCAUCCACUUUCUAUGUAUCUUGUAUGUACCU